CCCCCGGCCGUCUCCAUCCCAGAUUCCGAGAGCGCUCCACAGGCCAGGUCCCAUCGCGCUGCGGCACCCCCCGGCCCGCGCCGCCUCUCCCAUCCCGCCCGGUCGCCUCGCCGCCGCUGCCGAGAUGGGGUUCGUGUCCUUCGUCGGGAGGGUGCUUUUCGUCGCCGCCUUCCUCCUCUCCGCUUACCAGGAGUACGCGCCCCUCCCCUUUCCUUCACCUGUCUUCUCAUUCUCAUUGUCGUCGUGCCUGCUCGCUGUGUCGUUUCGAGUCCGGUUUCGGUAGAUCUGGCGCGGCGCCCGCGAAAUCCGAGUGGGAAUGGGCUCUGGGAGGACCAAAGUGCGUGGAUCUCGCGGUGGAUAGUUUGAUUUGUGGGGUCAGGGGGUGCGGAUCUGCUCAUGUUUUUUUAACCGCUUGGUACACGAAACGUCGUAAUUUUGGUCGUAGGCUUUUUUUCGAUCUGCAUCUGGGCAGUUGAAUUUCCGCAUUGAUCUGGAGAUUUGGAGGCAGCUGAAGUAGAACAUCUUGUAUGUACUUGUUUUAAGUUUCUUACUGCCACUUGUACUCUGAUCUGGGGUUCGGAUCUUCUACUCAGCUGGAUUUGUGAGUUAUACGUGCCAUAUAAAGUAUUGCAACUGCUGCCGAAUCAGCUUACAUGUCAUCCCACUAGUCAAAAUUCAAAUUAGGCCUAGUCAGCCUUCGGAGAUUUAGUUUUUAAGGUUCAUGCAUGGAUUUGAAUCCGCAUUGAGUUUAGCUGCUAGUUAGGAAGUAAGCGUAACAUAAUUCAACACCUCAUCUUGGUAGUGGGAUGCCAACACGCAUGCAGCACAGCAAUUAUGAAUCACGGGCAAUUGUCAUGGAACUUCCUCAAUAGGAGUGAAAUACCACUAGAUCAAACUGGUCCACUGCCAAAUCUUUCUUGGCUAAUAAAAAAAUACCUCUAUUGGCUUACAGCAGUAACAACAGGGUUGUCAAGGUAUGAUGUGGGAAAGAGCAGUUUGGAUUAGGUCUCCCCCAAUUGGAGGUGAUAAAAGAGCUCAAGUACAAUCCUUAAGUUAUCACUGGCGAGUUGUUGAUUUCAGUUGCUAUCAAUGAUUAUGAUGCCUCCUUGGGAGAUUAGAGAAGUAACAAAACCCUAGAUGUUCAUUUUGCUGCUUCUGUUUGAGUGGAGUUUGUGAGCAGCAAAAACACACGCAGCAGACUGAUCAAAAUCACAAAAGCACUGCUGUUCCGGACUAUUUUCUUCCCGCUUUCCUUUUUUUUUUGGCAUAUGUGUUGUGAACUUCUAUUGCAGCAGUUGCAACUAGGCGAAUGCCUUUUUUUUGUUGCUUCCGUGCUUUUUCAAGGAAGCAUCAUGAUCAUUAACUGCAACAGAAAUCAUUGUCUCACAAUUGUAUCUGUGCUUGGGCUCUUUGUCAUCUGCAUGUGAAGGAUAUAACACAAGAAUGCUUCAACACUCCUGCCUAAUGUGAUUGUUGCCUAAUCAAGUCAUACUGCUACACAGUGUUGCCCACUUAAGGCUGAGUUUGACAAGUUUGGACUAGUGCCUAGUAGGAAAAAAUCUUGACUAAAGAAGAUCCAUUUGACGGAUUAGCUUGUUAGGGGAGUUCGUGAGUUGUGACAUUGUUUUUGUUCGUAUUAGGAUCUAUAUUUUGUUCACCUUUCAGUAUUAUUUCCAAUUGAGGUGUCCAUAACCAGUUCACUGGAAGCACACCUCAUAUGUAAUAUAAUUAUAAACUUCCUUUGGCUGUCUAAUUCUAGCUCACAUGCCGAAGGAUUCAGGAUAGCUACUGUUCUGUUACUUGACCAUAUGUUAGAUGACUUAAUAGUCUUGGUACUUCAUACCUGGUUUUACCCUCAUUCAUUAAAGUGUACUUUUGUGGGUGCAGGUUUAAUGAAUUUGGAACUGAUGGUGGGCCAGCGGCAAAGGCCCUUCAGCCCAAGUUCAAUGUGUUCGUAAAAAAUAUCUCUUCGCAUCUUGGAGUAGCUGUGCCUCAUAUUGAGGUGAUAAUUUAUUUUCAUGGCAUCUUUCUUGUUGAUGUUGUUGAUUGUUGUUUUGUGUAGCUUACAUUUUUUCUUUUACCUACCCAGUUGAAGCAUGUUAUUGCUGCUACAAUCGCUCUUAAGGGCCUUGGAGGUCUCCUUUUUAUCUUGAGCAGCUCUCUCGGUGCUUACCUCCUGGUAUGUGCUCUUUGCUCUGUUUGCUUUGCUGUCAUCUAUUUCCUUUAAUCUUUCACCUUUCCUUUUAUAUAAGUAAAUAAUCACAUUUGCAUUCAUCCCUUUAUCUGAGAACUUCAAUGGAAAUGAAGGCUCUAUGUCUAGAAGCACAUGACACCUUUUUCGUAUUUCGUGAUAAAGUAGGAUGCACAUGCGCACAUAUUCAUUGCUUAAGCUGCUCAUGAUGAAAAUAUUGCUCUUUGUCUAGUGAAUUUUGCUAUGCAGAUAGCAUCUUCAUGUAGUCAUUUGCUAUUUUAUUUUCAGUUGAAUUUAAAUGGCAACAAUGUAAGUUUCGGUGUUCGAGUUGGGACUGUUCUGUGCGCAUAUUUGGGUUUCUGUUUUUUUUUUUAAAUUUUACUUUCUAACAUAAUUGAACCUGGGUACCAGUUUUAAUUUUCUUUUUGACUAUUGAGAAACAGAUAAGGAUAUCCUCACACGUUCAUAUUCUCUUUAUGCUGUUGCAAUCUGGAUCUAAAAAUCAUUGUGUAAUGAUGCAUAUGGUUAUGUUAAUCUGGAUAAAAUGUUUGUUGUGUAACGAUACAUAUGUUUAAAAAUCUGAACCUACCAAGGUAUGAUCUUCCAUGCUAAGCAACAAAAUUUUCUUUUCCGUUCCAUAUGGUCUACUUUUAUGUCUUGCAUAUACUUUUAUCUAAGUUUCGACAUGGUAGAUCUUGUUUCUAACUGUUUUUUUGUUGCACCCUGUGGUUCUUUAUUUGAGAACCUAAUUAAGAGGAUAUUAUUGUACUCCUCCGUUUUCAAAUCUUUGAUGUAUAUGACAAGCUACUUGCUAAAGAAUGUAUGCUCCAUAUUUCAGCAUAAGUACACUAUCUGAUACUGUAGCUCUCCAUUUGUUGGCCCUAGUAAAUAUUGAUAAUCAAUCUUCAAUCUUGACAAAAAUGCACUAUGAUUUUUUGUAUUGCUCACCUUGUGUCCGUUGCCCCAUUUUUCAGCUGUUUUGCGUGAUAGGGUGUUGCCUUGUGAUGUACACAUUGUUUGCUAAGCAUCAUCGCUUGUUUCUUGAUGCUACUCCUGUUAUUUUGCUACUAUGUAAUUUGUUUUGCUUUUGGGGCUUAGGUCAUGCUAUGUUUUUCCAGGAUCUUGGUCCUUAGGCUCCAUGGUGACAUGCACUAUUCUUUUUAUUGUGAAUUUAGACAAAUCUGAUCUGUUGGUUUGUCGGUGUAGCAGCCCUAGCCACUACUAAUGAAGUAUUUCAUCUUUGCAGUUGUUGUACCUUGCCUUUGUCACCCCUAUUGUGCAUGACUUCUACAAUUACGACAUGGAGAAGGCAGAAUUUGCCCAGAUCUUUGGGAAGUUCACCCAGGUAAUUGUUGUUUGCAAUUCUGCUAAGCAAUGCAUAGUCUGUCAAAGUAUAUGAAUAUCACAUGAUACCUUGUGAUUGCAGGAUUUGGCACUCAUUGGAGCACUUCUCUUCUUCCUGGGCAUGAAGAACUCCAUCCCAAAGCGGCAGGCCAAGAAGAAGGCUCCCAAGGCGAAGACGAACUAAGGCAAUCUAGAUAGUUGCAGCCGUAGGGGCCUCAGGCAGUGUCAGGAGACGGUCUAUUUUGAAGCAAGCUGCGAUGUGAGCCAAUGCCGUCGUGCGGCGCUUUCAUAUGUAUCAGAUUCCAUUUUGCAGGGCACGGCCCGAACGAAGGUGUGAGUGGUGGAUUAGGCGACUAAAUUGUACCAUUAUGUACUUGCGAUUGGUUUGUUGGACUAGGUUGCCAAUGAUUAAUCUUCUCCAUUUGGUUUAUCUUGCACUGGGCCUUGUUAGCAGUGCAGGAAAUAGCUACAGAUAAUGGCUGGGAAUUCUUUCUUACAUCGUCUCUUGUCAUUUUGUGAAUUGUGAGUCGAGUUAGUACACCAGUGUGGCGCCGUGAUUCACACUAAUCCCGACUAAUGCCCGCCAAGUAUGUAGCAUAAGAGACCAGAACUGACAGAUCAAAUUUUAACGCAGGUAUGCCAGGGUUCUUCGCUGUUGUCUAGCAGCUUUUAGGUUGUGUUUCAUUGCAUAUCGGGCUGUGCCUAAAAUGUGUUUGGGGGCUUUUGGGCCUAAGGAUCACAGGGACCGGGAGGGGCCUCUAAUGUCUAAUGUUCUUUCGCUAACCAACUGUUUUUUCCCUGCAACAAAUCCGGCAUGUUUCAAUGGUACAUGUUAUUGAGUCAUCGAGUCAGCAGCUCCGCUGCUUCGCUCACUAGAGUCUGCUAUGAAGUCUGAAGUAGAGUCAGGUGACCACGGUUAUUGUACCCACAGAGACUCAAGACUCAGGAGUUACAACACUUACCAACGCGGUUUUCACUGUGUUGCAGAAUCUGUUGUGCCUGGCUAACCUCAAGUCUCCGGCAUUAUCAGGCAAUUCGGGAGCGUCAAGUCCGAAUCACCCACAGCAAACGCUUCGGCUCCGGUAGCCAACAAGGGCAAGCUCGUCAAACUCUACACGAGUAGGAUCCUGCCACAAUUAUUCCCCGCCGUUGCUAGGCACAUUUCUUCCAAGCUGCUCCAACCGGCUACCGGCGCCAACACGCUUUCCCCUUCAAUUCUACUAACAUUUUGGAUGAAUCUGUCGGCAUCCGGCGAUGCCAUCCUCCACCCACCACACGCAUGUGGUAAGAACUAAGAACUGCAUCGCCGAGUGUUUCACGGCAAAACGCAACCUGACUCGAGCAUGCUCACGAUCAAGGUAGGCAUCGGCGAGUCCGGCCGGAUUCGAGACGGCCGGUCAAGUCCCAAAACCCUUGGUCCUCUAAUACGGCCAAUUCCCACAGCGGCCAACCUACCUCAACGCCUUGAUUCAAUUCAAGAAGGGUUGCUUAAAAACCCCCCCAAAAGGCUCCCCUGUUUGCCACGGCCUGAUGGCACCAAACUGGAGUCCCUGUCACGAACCCUCGCCUCCAUUGGACGUGCGACGCAGCAUGAGGUGACUCGAUCGCUUGUCCUCUUGCACCCCAAAAAAAAAACA
rnacentral:lncRNA from 1 species